AACGAACGCUGGCGGCAUGCCUAACACAUGCAAGUCGAACGAGACCUUCGGGUCUAGUGGCGCACGGGUGCGUAAUGCGUGGGAACCUGCCCUUAGGUUCGGAAUAACUCCCCGAAAGGGGUGCUAAUACCGGAUAAUGUCUUCGGACCAAAGAUUUAUCGCCUUUGGAUGGGCCCGCGUUGGACUAGCUAGUUGGUAGGGUAAAAGCCUACCAAGGCGACGAUCCAUAGCUGGUCUGAGAGGAUGAUCAGCCACACUGGGACUGAGACACGGCCCAGACUCCUACGGGAGGCAGCAGUGGGGAAUAUUGGACAAUGGGCGAAAGCCUGAUCCAGCAAUGCCGCGUGAGUGAUGAAGGCCUUAGGGUUGUAAAGCUCUUUUACCCGGGAUGAUAAUGACAGUACCGGGAGAAUAAGCUCCGGCUAACUCCGUG
rnacentral:rRNA from 1 species